rnacentral:lncRNA from 1 species
GCCAGCUGGGUUAACCUUGGUGGCAGGUCUGAGCCUGGGCUCUACUCUCAUUAACCUUCCUGCAGACAGGAUGCAGGCUGUACCACAAGUGGUACGUGCUUUCUCAGAGCUCUCCCCACGCAUCCAGAAGAGUUAAUCAAAGUACACCACCAAGAAUAAGUAAUUUCAAGAAUUAUCGUCAAUGAACUUGUUUGAACCCAGCCCAGCUGCUGCAUGUAGCUUCAAACAGAUGCUACACUCUCCCUCCCUCCCUUGUCCAUCACAACUUUCCAGAAAAUGGGAGAGUAACUGUUACAGCUACAGAGAAAAUGGGAGAGUAACUGUUACAGCUACAGAAAAAUCUGCAGAAAAGUUGCCACCAAAGAUAUAUAUUCUUUACAGCUUUGUCUGAUAUUCAGAGACCUAAGCAACUUCACUGGAUCAAUAAGAAGCACUGAACCAUCUCUCAGCCUUUCCUGGACUUCUCCCUUGUGGCAGAUCCAGAGCUUUAACACUCCAGGUGGAGUGGAUCUGGCUCCAGGUAGAGUCUGUCAAUAUUUUCAUCAGAGUAUGUAUCUUUCAUAAACAUGAAAAAGACAGGUUUAGAAGUACCCAAGAAAUCUUAGAAUCAGAUUUCAUUUUAUCAAGUUCUUUGCCUAAACAAAACAACAAACUUUCCUUAAACUCCUGAAAAUACACUGGGAAACACUUUUAUUUUUCUGUUGCAAUGCUCUACAAGAAAUUGUAUUAUUUUCUGCAUUUUAAAUACUAUAUGUGUGCCAUUACCCUUGAAAUGUAUUAAAAAAAAAAAAAAUUAAAGAAACUUAAAAUCGCAAUGAAAUUUCUAUUUCAGCUUGCAUUAAACAUUUUGUACAGUUCAAGUGUUCAAAAAUGAUUGAUUGGCUGAAUUUUUUUCUUUUUGUCAGAUCAUCCUGUGACUGGAAACAUUAGCAUUCACUCAGCUCUUGUCACUGACUGUUUAAUUUAAAUCUCUACCUGGAAAAAAUUGUUUUCAGUGCAGGGUAACCCCUGGACUCUUCCCACAGUGCCCCUGCACCUCUGACCUGCUACUAAAACCUUGUCAAAUACAUUAAUUGCAAUGGGUUCCCCAAAUCAUCCUUUCCUGUUCCUUUGUUUAUUCCAGACUGUCUGAACACUGAAUUGAAGACUGGUAGAGCUUGCGAUGAUGUCAGCAACAUAUAACGAGAGAGAAGCUAUAUGCAAAGCACAGAGAGACAGACAUUCAUUUUACACGGCCAAAACUUAAAAAGGAUCUCUCCAGGUCUAAGAAAGUUAUAAGAUGCCCAAAUCAGCUCAUACUGAAAAAUGCUCGUUCACUAAUGGCAGUAACAACUGUGUCAUGUUCUUUAUGCACAAGGACACUUCUAGUAUAUUAAAAGAGAAGAGACCAG